GAAGAAAUAAAAUGGAAAGCGACAUAAAAACUUAACUAGUGAAUGAGACGAACUGCAAAGGAAUCGGGCUCUUAGUUCAAUGCUCGACUCUGAUACUCACCGUAGGGCAAAUGAGAAUGGAAUUUAUUACCCCGGGAGUAACAUACGCUCCUCUUUAUGCCUUAAACUUAUGAGUAAGGAAAAUAACGAUUCGGGGUGACGCCCGAAUCCUCACUGCUAAUGUGAGACGAAUUUUUGAGCGGGUAAAGGUUGCCCCUAAGGUGACCCGCCUACUUUGCGGGAUGCCUGGGAGUCGCGAUCUGCCCGUCCUCCUUCUAAUCACUGAAAAAACAGACCGGUGUCUUCUGGUUAAAUGUCAGCUUAAAAAGUAGGUGGUUUGUUGCGAAAUAAGAGCUUGGGCUGCAGAAGAGUCUUUCUGUGCCAGUCAAACCCCGCACUUGUCAUUUAUUAUUCCCCGUUUUUUUUUUCUUUGUCUUGCUAAAUUGGCCCGGUUUUUCGAUUUAGUGAUUCACGGACUGCCUUCCCCUUGGCGACCGUAGCCAGUUUCUUGCCCCUGGAAUCGUAGAAUAAGGGCAGCUGCCUACUUGUGGGUUAGAGCGAAAGAUGCCUGCGGCUACCGGCUGCAUACAGUAGGCGCUCGCGUUGCAGCUCACGGGGUGACAGCUGGAGGACCCCUUGGGUCCCCUCGAGCCGCGCUUCUUGGCGGUAUGGCUUUCACCAGCAAAUCGCUUCUCCUCGUUAUGCUGCGGUUUACUUGAUCUAUAAAAUGGGGCAAAUAGCAGGUCGUUGCGAGGGUUGCAUGACAGACUGAAAAUCUUGGACACGCGGAAUUGCCUUUGCUAUAGAAGAGGCUGCCCCAGGACCCAGCGCUAAGCCCGGCACGAGGGACCAGAAUUGAGGAGACCUAACGCAAGUCCAGUGCUCUGCAGAGUCCCCAGCACACGGUAGGGGUGCAGAAGGGAUUCCCAGGCCAAGCCCUUUGCUGCCCCAAGGAGCCCAGCCCUGCUCCAGGAUGCGGGCCAGGGCCAGAACGGAGUUAAGAGAAGAGAGGAAAAAGGGGCUCCCGGGCCUGUGGCUAGGCUUCAGGCAUUGCUUCCAGUGCACUUCCCCACCCCACCCCCACUCCCCUCCAGCCACACCGACCUUCACAAUGUUCCUGAAGCCAUCCAGCAGACCUCUGCCCCAGGGCCUUUGCACUUGCUGGUCACACCCUCUAGAGCACCGCUAGUUUGCCUCCUUUCCAGCUUCAUUUCCGCUGUCCCCUCAGCCACCUGCUUUCUUCCAUCUGUUUCUUGACGUUAAUCCCACAAGCUUGCUCCAAACCCAACGCCUCUGCACUCCCCGUUCCUGCCACCUUGAACACCUAUCCCUGCAGAGCCAGCUUCGUUGUCUCUUCAGAGAAACCAGCCCUCAUCCCCACGUUGCCUUGUGGCCUAAUUUGUCUUGGCAUUUACCGUUUCACUCAUGACACCAUCUGGUAGUUGGCUUAGGACUUUCUCACCAGUGCCCCAGUAGUUGGGGAGGGUGUGUUGGGGCAGCCGCGGCCGAGUCCCCAGCACUUUGAACGGGACACAAAGGCACGAGGGGGCUAGUGGACCCCCUUGGAGCCCUCCACGGGGGGAGCAAUACCUGCCUUACUCAGGACUCCCCUCCAACCCGAAGGCCAUUCGUCGCCGAGCCUCAAAUGAACCCUGCUUCUCAGGGCCGACCAGAGGGGAAAGCAAAAAGGGAAACAGUGCAGACACACGGAGUUGUACAACACAGGGCUGGAGAGGGCUUCUCGCAUGGCUGAGAUGACAUGACUAAGGCUGGGCAAAAGCGGGGGCACUGAAAGGCUGGACCCCAGUGUCCCCGCGCCCUGGCCCAGCUUUCUAUCUUCAGGAAUCUAUCCUCAAAAAACAAAACAAGUCAUCUGACAGGAGGGUGAAGAGAGCUGCUGUCAUUUUCAAAAUCCACAGGUGGGAAACAAUCCAGCUGUCCAAACCCAGGGGAUCUGCUACAUAAUGAAUCAUGAUCCAUGGGGCUUAUGGAGACCGUGUGACACGGGGCAACAGCAGUGGCCUCGGGUGGGCCAGUGGCUUCACCAGGGCGGUCGGUGUUUGCCUCUGCGUGUCCGGUGUCUUUUCUCCCGUGUAUAUUUUUCCGUACGGUCCAAACUUCACACAACAAACACAAACACACGUUUGAAAUAAGUGCCGAGCCCCUUCUUGUCUCCUCCCCGCCCCCACAAUGACACAAGUCACAGAGCCUCCAGGAGCCCCAGAAGGGUUAGUAUUAGCAAAGUUUUAUUUCAACGUCUUUUCUGCUCAUAAAUGAUUCUGGAAAAGCCGAUACGCAAGAGGCUCACCCACCCUCGUCUAAAGGCAACACUGAGGUCACUGAGAACGCUGCUCAGACAGACUCCCCUAUGCUGGGGCGCAGGCAGCAGGACGGGCGGGUUUGGGGCAGAGG